UACAGCGAAUUCAGCUCACUAUUGACAUUAUUGAAGCUAUACAAGCUUCCUAAAUAGGAAAUAGAAUAGGGAUCUAUGGUGUAGUUCCUUAUUCAAAUACAUCCUCUUCGAUCCAUAGCAGAUGAUAACUUAACGAAUCGCAUGGCCUUGCGCCGGCGAUGGUUCAUUCAAAUUUCUGCCCUAUCAACUUUCGAUGGUAGGAUAGUGGCCUACCAUGGUCUCAACGGGUAACGGGGAAUUAGGGUUCUAUUCCGGAGAGGGAGCCUGAGAAACGGCUACCACAUCCAAGGAAGGCAGCAGGCGCGCAAAUUACCCAAUCCCAACACGGGGAGGUAGUGACAAUACAUACUGAUACAGGGCUCUUUCGGGUCUUGUAAUUGGAAUGAGUACAAUCUAAAUCCCUUAACGAGGAACAAUUGGAGGGCAAGUCUGGUGCCAGCAGCCGCGGUAAUUCCAGCUCCAAUAGCGUAUAUUAAAGUUGUUGCAGUUAAAAAGCUCGUAGUUGAACCUUGGGCCUGGCUGAUCUGUCUUCCUAAACGUUGUACGGAUUCGGUCGGGCCUUUCCUUCUGGGGAAUCCUAU
rnacentral:ncRNA from 1 species